UACGUAGGGGGCAAGCGUUGUCCGGAAUUAUUGGGCGUAAAGAGCGUGUAGGCGGUCCGGUAAGUCGGCUGUGAAAGUCCAGGGCUCAACCCUGGGAUGCCGGUGGAUACUGUCGAGCUCGAGUCCGGAAGAGGCGAGUGGAAUUCCUGGUGUAGCGGUGAAAUGCGCAGAUAUCAGGAGGAACACCAAUGGCGAAGGCAGCUCGCUGGGACGUGACUGACGCUGAGACGCGAAAGCGUGGGGAGCAAACAGG
rnacentral:rRNA from 1 species